GUUGAUAAGGUUAAGUGAAUAAGGGCGCACGGUGGAUGCCUUGGCACUAGGAGCCGAUGAAGGACGGGACUAACACCGAUAUGCUUUGGGGAGCUGUACGUAAGCUAUGAUCCAGAGAUUUCCGAAUGGGGGAACCCAGCAUCUUUAAUAGGAUGUUACGAUUGUGUGAAUACAUAGCACAUUCGAGGUAGACGCAGAGAACUGAAACAUCUAAGUACCUGCAGGAAGAGAAAGAAAAUUCGAUUCCCUGAGUAGCGGCGAGCGAAACGGGAAAAGCCCAAACCAACAAGCUUGCUUGUUGGGGUUGUAGGACUCCAAUAUGGUCGUUCUUUCAGAUAGUCGAAUGACUUGGAAAAGUCAGUCAAAGAGGGUAAAAACCCCGUAGACGAAAUGUGGAAGACACCUAGGAGGAUCCUGAGUACGGCGGAACACGAGAAAUUCCGUCGGAAUCCGGGAGGACCAUCUCCCAAGGCUAAAUACUCCCUAGUGACCGAUAGUGAACCAGUACCGUGAGGGAAAGGUGAAAAGCACCCCGGAAGGGGAGUGAAAUAGAACCUGAAACCGUGUGCCUACAACAAGUCAAAGCCCGUUAAUGGGUGAUGGCGUGCCUUUUGUAGAAUGAACCGGCGAGUUACGAUUGCAUGCGAGGUUAAGUUGAAGAGACGGAGCCGCAGCGAAAGCGAGUCUGAAUAGGGCGUUUGAGUAUGUAGUCGUAGACCCGAAACCAUGUGAUCUACCCAUGUCCAGGUUGAAGGUGCGGUAAAACGCACUGGAGGACCGAACCCACGUACGUUGAAAAGUGCGGGGAUGAGGUGUGGGUAGCGGAGAAAUUCCAAACGAACUUGGAGAUAGCUGGUUCUCUCCGAAAUAGCUUUAGGGCUAGCCUCGGAAUUGAGAAUGAUGGAGGUAGAGCACUGUUUGGACUAGGGGCCCAUCUCGGGUUACCGAAUUCAGAUAAACUCCGAAUGCCAUUCAUUCAUAUCCGGGAGUCAGACUGUGAGUGAUAAGAUCCAUAGUCGAAAGGGAAACAGCCCAGACCACCAGCUAAGGUCCCAAAAUAUAUGUUAAGUGGAAAAGGAUGUGGGGUUGCACAGACAACUAGGAUGUUGGCUUAGAAGCAGCCACCAUUUAAAGAGUGCGUAAUAGCUCACUAGUCGAGUGACCCUGCGCCGAAAAUGUACCGGGGCUAAACAUAUUACCGAAGCUGUGGAGUACACCUUUAGGUGUAUUGGUAGGAGAGCGUUCUAAGGGCGUCGAAGGCAGAUCGUGAGGACUGCUGGAGCGCUUAGAAGUGAGAAUGCCGGUAUGAGUAGCGAAAGACAGGUGAGAAUCCUGUCCACCGAAUGACUAAGGUUUCCUGGGGAAGGCUCGUCCGCCCAGGGUUAGUCGGGACCUAAGCCGAGGCCGAUAGGCGUAGGCGAUGGAUAACAGGUUGAUAUUCCUGUACCCGUUGUUUUUGUUUGAGCAAUGGAGGGACGCAGGAGGCUAAGGAAUGCAGACGAUCGGAAAUGUCUGUCCAAGCAGUAAGUCUGAAGAGGAGUCAAAUGCUUCUUUUCUUAAGGACAAGCUGUGAUGGGGAGGGAAAUAAUAGUACCGAAGUUCCUGAUGUCACACUGCCGAGAAAAGCUUCUAGUGAGAAAACAGCGGCCCGUACCGCAAACCGACACAGGUAGUCGAGGAGAGAAUCCUAAGGUGAGCGAGAGAACUCUCGUUAAGGAACUCGGCAAAAUGACCCCGUAACUUCGGGAGAAGGGGUGCUGAUCAUACGAUCAGCCGCAGUGAAUAGGCCCAAGCGACUGUUUAUCAAAAACACAGGUCUCUGCAAAAUCGUAAGAUGAAGUAUAGGGGCUGACGCCUGCCCGGUGCUGGAAGGUUAAGAGGAGUGCUUAGCGCAAGCGAAGGUACGAAUUGAAGCCCCAGUAAACGGCGGCCGUAACUAUAACGGUCCUAAGGUAGCGAA
rnacentral:rRNA from 1 species